UUUUAUGGAGAGUUUGAUCCUGGCUCAGGAUGAACGCUGGCGGCGUGCCUAAUACAUGCAAGUCGAGCGAACGGACGAGAAGCUUGCUUCUCUGAUGUUAGCGGCGGACGGGUGAGUAACACGUGGAUAACCUACCUAUAAGACUGGGAUAACUUCGGGAAACCGGAGCUAAUACCGGAUAAUAUUUUGAACCGCAUGGUUCAAAAGUGAAAGACGGUCUUGCUGUCACUUAUAGAUGGAUCCGCGCUGCAUUAGCUAGUUGGUAAGGUAACGGCUUACCAAGGCAACGAUGCAUAGCCGACCUGAGAGGGUGAUCGGCCACACUGGAACUGAGACACGGUCCAGACUCCUACGGGAGGCAGCAGUAGGGAAUCUUCCGCAAUGGGCGAAAGCCUGACGGAGCAACGCCGCGUGAGUGAUGAAGGUCUUCGGAUCGUAAAACUCUGUUAUUAGGGAAGAACAUAUGUGUAAGUAACUGUGCACAUCUUGACGGUACCUAAUCAGAAAGCCACGGCUAACUACGUGCCAGCAGCCGCGGUAAUACGUAGGUGGCAAGCGUUAUCCGGAAUUAUUGGGCGUAAAGCGCGCGUAGGCGGUUUUUUAAGUCUGAUGUGAAAGCCCACGGCUCAACCGUGGAGGGUCAUUGGAAACUGGAAAACUUGAGUGCAGAAGAGGAAAGUGGAAUUCCAUGUGUAGCGGUGAAAUGCGCAGAGAUAUGGAGGAACACCAGUGGCGAAGGCGACUUUCUGGUCUGUAACUGACGCUGAUGUGCGAAAGCGUGGGGAUCAAACAGGAUUAGAUACCCUGGUAGUCCACGCCGUAAACGAUGAGUGCUAAGUGUUAGGGGGUUUCCGCCCCUUAGUGCUGCAGCUAACGCAUUAAGCACUCCGCCUGGGGAGUACGACCGCAAGGUUGAAACUCAAAGGAAUUGACGGGGACCCGCACAAGCGGUGGAGCAUGUGGUUUAAUUCGAAGCAACGCGAAGAACCUUACCAAAUCUUGACAUCCUUUGACAACUCUAGAGAUAGAGCUUUCCCCUUCGGGGGACAAAGUGACAGGUGGUGCAUGGUUGUCGUCAGCUCGUGUCGUGAGAUGUUGGGUUAAGUCCCGCAACGAGCGCAACCCUUAAGCUUAGUUGCCAUCAUUAAGUUGGGCACUCUAAGUUGACUGCCGGUGACAAACCGGAGGAAGGUGGGGAUGACGUCAAAUCAUCAUGCCCCUUAUGAUUUGGGCUACACACGUGCUACAAUGGACAAUACAAAGGGCAGCGAAACCGCGAGGUCAAGCAAAUCCCAUAAAGUU
rnacentral:rRNA from 1 species